CGUCAGGCAGCGUAUGACACUUGACUCGUGGCAUGGUAUUUUAUCAAACACUUGGGGGUAAUACCUAGGGAUAUUAAUUCUUCAAGCAUAUAUACCUGAUGUGUAGUAGUGACACAAAGUGUUAGUAUAUAGGGGGUGGUGUGGUGAAGUCCACUCAGGCCAUGGGCAGGCUGACUUCGUCGGUUGCCUAGAUGUUGGGCCGAAUGGGUUAGACAACAGUUACUGAUAAUAGUUGCAGGGCAGACAUGCAGACAACAUGAUCAUUGUUGGACAUUGUCUAAAAACGAAUUCGGCUUGUGCGCACAUUCAAACAUAUAAUUUGCUGAGCAUUCAAAUGUCGGUUGGACAUUGGCUGAAAUUCCUAUACAGUGAGUUAGGGAUGUCAACCGCAGGCUAUUUUGUACAGUAAUAUAUUUAUAUGUAUGUAUUGGUGCGGUGCAGACAUUGUUCGAGUCUUGCAAGCCUU
rnacentral:lncRNA from 1 species